UACAGAGGCCUCGAGCGUUAAUCGGAGUCACUGGGCUUAAAGGGUGCGUAGGCGGCGCUGCAGGUGCCUUGUGAAAUCCCACGGCUCAACCGUGGAAUUGCUCGGCAGACUGCGGUGCUUGAGGUUGGUAGGGGUCGCUGGAACUCUAGGUGGAGCGGUGAAAUGCGUAGAUAUCUAGAGGAACGCCGAAGGUGAAGACAGGCGACUGGGCCAAUUCUGACGCUGAGGCACGAAAGCGUGGGGAGCGAACGGG
rnacentral:rRNA from 1 species